UAGAGUUUGAUCAUGGCUCAGAGCGAACGCUGGCGGCAGGCUUAACACAUGCAAGUCGAGCGGGCCCUUCGGGGUCAGCGGCAGACGGGUGAGUAACGCGUGGGAACGUGCCCUUUGGUUCGGAAUAUUCCCGGGAAACUGGGAGCAAAACCGGAUAAGCCCUUCGGGGGAAAGUUUACGCCAAAGGAUCGGCCCGCGUUAGAUUAGGUAGUUGGUGGGGUAACGGCCUACCAAGCCUGCGAUCGGUAGCUGGUCUGAGAGGACGAUCAGCCACACUGGGACUGAGACACGGCCCAGACUCCUACGGGAGGCAGCAGUGGGGAAUAUUGGGCAAUGGGCGCAAGCCUGACCCAGCAAUGCCGCGUGGGUGAAGAAGGUCUUCGGAUUGUAAAGCCCUUUCGGCGGGGACGAUGAUGACGGUACCCGCAGAAGAAGCCCCGGCUAACUUCGUGCCAGCAGCCGCGGUAAU
rnacentral:rRNA from 1 species